CCUACGGGAGGCAGCAGUCGAGAAUCAUUCACAAUGGGGGAAACCCUGAUGGUGCGACGCCGCGUGGGGGAAUAAAGGUCUUCGGAUUGUAAACCCCUGUUAUGUGGGAGCAAAUUAAAAAGAUAGUACCACAAGCGGAAGAGACGGCUAACACUGUGCCAGCAUCCGCGGUCAUACAGAGGUGUCAAGCGUUGUUCGGAUUCACUGGGCGUAAAGCGUGCGUAGGAUGUUUCGUAAGUCGUGUGUGAAAGGCGCGGGCUCAACCCGCGGACGGCACAUGAUACUGCGAGACUAGAGUAAUGGUGCGGUAACCGGAAUUCUCGGUGUAGCAGUGAAAUGCGUAGAUAUCG
rnacentral:rRNA from 1 species